rnacentral:lncRNA from 1 species
AUUCUUAUUUCUUCCUAUAUCACCAAGAUAGCCAAACACCUCUGACUCCACACUCCUCAAAAUAAGAUCUACCUUGCUCCACCUAUUGCUCCUUUUUGCUUAGGUCUUCCCUUCUUUGAACAUGUUAGGGUCUUUCAUUUAAGCCUUAAAUGGGAAAUAGAUAGAGAAUUCUUCCUUUUAAUUGGAGAAUUUAUGAGUGAUAGGAAGAUGGACCAUGGAACUUC